rnacentral:rRNA from 1 species
ACUACGGGUGGCAGCAGUGAGGAAUAUUGGUCAAUGGGCGCGAGCCUGAACCAGCCAAGCCGCGUGAGGGAUGAAGGUUCUAUGGAUCGUAAACCUCUUUUAUAAGGGAAUAAAGUGUGGGACGUGUCCUAUUUUGUAUGUACCUUAUGAAUAAGGAUCGGCUAACUCCGUGUCAGCAGCCGCGGUAAUACGGAGGAUCCGAGCGUUAUCCGGUUUGAUUGGGUUUAAAGGGUGCGUAGGCGGGCUGUUAAGUCAGCGGUAAAAGCCAGGGACUCAACCCCGGCGAGCCUUUGAAACUGGGUAUCUUGAGAGGUCGAGAGGUGUGCGGAAUGCGCGGUGUAGCGGGGAAAUGCUUAGAUAUAGCGAAGAACUCCGAUUGCGAAGGCAGCAUACCGGCGGCGAUCUGACGCUGAGGCACGAAAGCGUGGGUAUCGAACAGGAUUAGAUACCCUUGUAGUC